rnacentral:tRNA from 1 species
GCGGGAUUGGUACAGUGGCAGUAUGCCACCUUCCCAAGGUGGAGACGCGAGUUCGAUUCUCGUAUCCCGCUCCA